GCCCAGACUCCUACGGGAGGCAGCAGUGGGGAAUAUUGCACAAUGGGGGAAACCCUGAUGCAGCGACGCCGCGUGAGUGAAGAAGUAUUUCGGUAUGUAAAGCUCUAUCAGCAGGGAAGAAAAUGACGGUACCUGAUUAAGAAGCCCCGGCUAACUACGUGCCAGCAGCCGCGGUAAUACGUAGGGGGCAAGCGUUAUCCGGAUUUACUGGGUGUAAAGGGAGCGUAGACGGCAGCACAAGUCUGGAGUGAAAUGCCGGGGCUUAACCCCGGAACUGCUUUGGAAACUGUGCAGCUAGAGAGCAGGAGAGGUAAGUGGAAUUCCUAGUGUAGCGGUGAAAUGCGUAGAUAUUAGGAGGAACACCAGUGGCGAAGGCGGCCUGCUGGGCUUUAACUGACGCUGAGGCUCGAAAGCGUGGGUAGCAAACAGGAUUAGAUACCCGGGUAUCU
rnacentral:rRNA from 1 species